rnacentral:lncRNA from 1 species
CCCUUCUAAGUUCUAAUUCGCAACCAAAAAUUUACAUCUUUGACGUAGGGAAAUUGAAGCACUUGGAGCUCCAAGUAGAGCAACGCGACAGGAGUAAUGUACCAUGGAUAUGGAGUUGAGCGUCAACCUCAUUUGGAGCAUUACAAAGGUUUUACCGCAUCUCAUAUGCUCAAGGAUAGAGAGAGGAGCACCCACGACCGUAAUUCUAUAAUACCCAAACCUCUAUCAGGUAUAAUCACUUGCUAUCAAAUUCGAUUACGUGGUAAAAGUAUUGUUUGCAUUACAACUCAAUUCGUAUAAGAUAGUCAUUUCUAUUUGUUUUAAAUAGGGAUUGGAGCUUUGUACUAAUGUUUUCAAACUUAGGCCGGUCAGAGAAUUGGUCAGGUUGCUAGUUUGCAAUCCAAGUAGUUGGACCACCGUGAACCAGUGAUAAUGUUAUGAGUAAAUGAUUAUAGAUAGAUAAUGUUUUCUUGAUUGCACAUACUUUCUUCAGUUUUGGGUGAGAAGAUCAAAGGAAAAGCAAUGGAAUUGGCCAAAAAGUAGGGGUAGAGCAAUACUUUUUGAUCGAAUGAUUCCGGAAAAUCUAAG